GGAGGGGUGGCAGAGUGGUCACAAUGCAGCCGCCUUGAAAGCGGCCGGCCGCAAGGCUCGUGGGUUCGAAUCCCACCCCCUCCGCCA
rnacentral:tRNA from 1 species